AUUGAACGCUGGCGGCAGGCCUAACACAUGCAAGUCGAACGAGUGGCGGACGGGUGAGUAAUGUCUGGGAAACUGCCUGAUGGAGGGGGAUAACUACUGGAAACGGUAGCUAAUACCGCAUACCCUCAGAUGUGCCCAGCUGGGUUUAGCUAGGUGGUGGGGUAACGGCUCACCAAGGAGUCGAUCCCUCGCUGGUCUGAGAGGAUGACCAGCCACGCUGGAACUGUGACACGGUCCAGAGUCCUGCGGGAGGCAGCAGUGGGGAAUAUUGCACAAUGGGCGCAAGCCUGAUUCAGCCACGCCGCGUGUAUGAAGAAGGCCUUCGGGUUGUAAAGUACUUUCAGCGGGGAGGCGUUACCCGCAGAAGAAGCACCGGCUAACUCCGUGCCAGCCGCCGCGGUAAUUC
rnacentral:rRNA from 1 species